rnacentral:rRNA from 1 species
AGAGCGAACGCUGGCGGCAUGCUUAACACAUGCAAGUCGCACGGGCAGGGGAAACCCUGUCAGUGGCGGACGGGUGAGUAACGCGUAGGUAUCUAUCCUUGGGUGGGGGACAACUGUGGGAAACUACAGCUAAUACCGCAUGAUGACCGAGGUCCAAAGGCCGCAAGGCCGCCUGGGGAGGAGCCUGCGUACGAUUAGCUAGUUGGUGGGGUAACUGCCUACCAAGGCGACGAUCGUUAGCUGGUCUGAGAGGAUGAUCAGCCACAUUGGGACUGAGACACGGCCCAAAACUCCUACGGGAGGCAGCAGUGGGGAAUAUUGGACAAUGGGCGCAAGCCUGAUCCAGCAAUGCCGCGUGGGUGAAGAAGGUCUUCGGAUUGUAAAGCCCUUUCGACGGGGACGAUGAUGACGGUACCCGUAGAAGAAGCCCGGCUAACUUCGUGCCAGCAGCCGC